UACGAAGGGGGCUAGCGUUGCUCGGAAUUACUGGGCGUAAAGGGCGCGUAGGCGGACAGUUUAGUCAGAGGUGAAAGCCCAGGGCUCAACCCUGGAAUUGCCUUUGAUACUGGCUGUCUUGAGUACGGGAGAGGUGUGUGGAACUCCGAGUGUAGAGGUGAAAUUCGUAGAUAUUAGGAAGAACACCAGUGGCGAAGGCGACUUACUGGACUGUAACUGACGCUGAGGCAUGAAAGCGUGGGGAGCAAACAGG
rnacentral:rRNA from 1 species